AUAACCCCCACAACUGACUACACAUGCUGUGGCACACACUACUGAUAGAAAUUUAAACAAACAAAAACAGAAGCCAGGUGUGAUGGUAUAUCCUGUUAUCCCAGUGCUGGGCAUUCAGGGUAGAGAUAUGCAGAUCUUAGAAGCUCACUGGCCAGCCAACUUAGCCAAACUGGUAAAUUCUAGGCUCAGGAAGAAAUCCUAUCUCAAAAAAUCCUGAGGAGGCUGACCUCUAGCCUCCACAUGCAUGUGCACUCACCCACGGGAACAUACAAUCAUACAUACACACACACAAUGCUGAUCCCCAUCCACUAAGUUGAUUUUACAACCUAGGAAUGAAUUACAACCUGCUUUUACUGGGUUUACUCAGCCUUUCAGUGCCUAAGCAUUGCCUUUGCUGGAUAAAAUCCAGACAUUACAUUGACAGCCUGGUCCAGCCACAUCUCAAGCCUGCCAUAUUCAACCCUGGCCGAAGUUUAUGAAACAACUGUGCUUUGUGUGGAAAUGCUAAGGCAUUUCAGUAUCCAAGACCAAAAAAAAAAAAAAAAAAAAAUCCUCUACCGGGCCUUAAAUGCUGAUAGUGAUUGUCAAGAGUAUAAACAUAUGUCUAAUUAAUUUCCCACACAUUUUACAUAUUCCAACAUCCUGGAAUAUUUCUAACCAAUGCCACAGACAGAAAAUACCUAUAUAUUUCUACACUGGCAAAACCAGAAAUGAUGCAUCUUUUAUGAAAAAGUCACUGAAUUCCUCAAGUGAAGCUCAGCGUUAUUACAGUGGCCCAGACUCUUCAUUUGAUCUUUUAACCACAUAGAAGACCACCCAUACUGUAUAUUAGAUCUGAGACUUGUUCAUCCUACAAAGCAAAAAAGUUUGGCCCCAGGGCUGGGGUGGAGCUCUGUGGUAACGUGUGCUUAGCAUUCAUCAAGUCCUGAGUUCAGUCCCCAGCACAACACACAACCAGCUAGAAAGAAAGUUGCCACUUCCUCAAGCCCUUAAGGCCAAGGCCACCCCAUUUCCUGGAGCCCUUAGACACUGACAGCCAAGCUUUGUUUCUAUAAGUCUUACAAGGUCCUUAUAUAUUUUAAAUUUCAGUCUUUUAUCAGAUACAUGGACGGCAAAUAUUCUAUCUCCUGCAGGUUACCUUUUCACGUUCAGAUUGCUUGUUUGAUGUUUAAAACCCGCUUGGUUCAAUAUCAUCCCAUUGACUGACUUUCUAUUCUUUACUGUUCUAUGCAGAAUGUAUCACUAGGGUCAGUGGAGACGCUUCUCCCUGUGUUCUCUUCUAGCUGUUAUACUGGUCUUCCCAGAACUAGGACCCUCAUCCGUCUGGGACUUCUAUUUGUCUUUAAUACAUUUUGUGCUAAUUAUGUAGGGUUCCGAAUCUAGCUAAGGGAUAGAGCAUGUGACUGAAAAGUAUGAGGCCUCAGUUUCAAUUCCUAGAACCAGAACGGGGCAGGGGAAUGGAGAAAAUCAAGUUAAUUUUGAGUCUGGUAUAAAACAAGGGUUCUGAUUUUCCCCCCUUGGCUUGAGGAUAUAUGGUUUCUCAACAACAGUUUUUGGAGUGAUUUCCUCCAGUGUAUACUCAUUUGGCAAAAAUCAGUUGACUCUGCGUGCUUGUGUUUAUUUCUGGGCUCUAUCCUGUGCCAUGGCCUGUGUCUGUUAUGCCGCACAGCCGCAUUUGCUUACUAUAGGUUUGUGAUACAGCCUGCAGUUGGGGAAGAUGAUGCCUUUUUCUUUAUGACAUUAUUUUGGCUAUAUGGAAUUUUUUGUACUUACAAACUUUGUCUUUGGUGUUUUUUUUUUUUUAAUUUUUGUUUUUUUUUAAAGGUCAUUGGUAUUUUUAUAGGGAUUGCAUGAACUCUAUAGAUUACUUUGAGUUCUGUGAACAUUUUAAUAAUUUUCAUUCUUCCAAUCUUGAGAGCAAGGCAGUGUUCCACUUAUCAGUGUUAUUUUCAAUGUCUUUUAUCGGUGCUAAUAAUUUUGAGCACAAGGGUUUUUUUGGCAUUUUGUCUUGUUUUGUGUUGUUUUUUGAGUUCUCUGUAGCCUUGGAUGCCUUGUCCUGAAGCUUGCUCUGUUAACCAGUCUGGCCUCAAACUCACAGAGAUCCACCUGUUUCUGCUCCAACACACUAGAAUUAAAAGCGUGUCCCACCACUGCCCAGCUGGGUACAAAUCUUUUACAUUCUUAGUUAUAUUUAUUCCUAUGUCUUUUAGGCUGUGGAUUGGGCCCAGGCUCUAGCACAUACUAGGCAAAUACUCUAGAACUGAACCACAGCUCCAGCCCUGAUAGUUCCACAAAUGGAAGCAUUUCCUUUACUUUCUUUACCAGUGGGCCAGUUUCACACUGUACAUCUUUUAUUAUAGUGACUGAAUAACUCUACUUUUAAAACCCUUCACUAAAUAGUGAGUUCCUCGAGAAAACACAUCUAAUUCAUUUCUCCCACCACCCAAUAAAGAACAUGAGACAAAGUUGGCAUCAACUGUCUAUUGAAUCAAUCAAUGUGUUUUACAGACUUCUUCAGCCUGGAUGUAACAAUUUUUUGCCUAUGAACUCCUCCCUUCCCCUGUUUCCUCCUACUUCAUCUGAAAAAAGAACUUCCUGCAAAGCUGACUCCCCAUUGUUCACCCUGGAUAAUGUCUGUACCCUGAAGGCUCCUUUCUGUAUGCUCUUAGAUGCAUGGGCAUGGUGCAGAUGUCCUCUGACUUUUCAGCAUAAACCCAGUAGUUAAGUCUGAGAUGCUUUAAUCUUAAAAGUGAUCUGUGUGCUUACAUUUUUAAGGAAAGGAGUUUAAACUUCCCCAAGAUUUUGCAUUCUUCUCCACAAAGUGCCUGUUUAAUAUAAAAAUAGUAUUUUAGUUCUUAUAAGUUAUAUGUUAUAUAUUAUACACACACAAAUCCUCUAUCAAAACUAAUGUUUUAAGAAGAUAAGUUCUGUUUAUUCCGUAGCUCCACAUAUGUCUUGGUAAUCCACUGUUCCCCCAGUAUGAGAACCCAGCAUUAAAGGAAUUUUACCCGUUUCGUUUCAAUC
rnacentral:lncRNA from 1 species